AAAUUUAAGUUACAUAGGGCAUGGUCGAGGAGCUCCAUAGCACCCCCGAAUGCAGGCGAUGGUCAGGAUGAAGUUGCUCCGAUGUGCACGUGAUGUACCAUAGUCAUUGCUCUCAAAGUUCAUCAAGGUUUACAUGGUUGUAUCUGACUCCACCCAACAGGAAGUUGGUCAUGUUGGAUGAAAUGUUGGAUUUUCAAAGUUUCCCAUGGUGUUUUGAGAGACUUAACAUGGCUGAAAAUCCAUGAAACUUUGCAAAUGCAUUUGUCUUACGACAUUAAUUGAUGUGAUGUUGCAUUUUAUCAUAGUUGUGCCUCAUAGGCUCCAUAGCACCCCCUAUGUUUUAAAUGCGCAUUUGACAUCAUUGGAAUGCUCAAACUAUUAUUUCACACACUUGUUAAAGUAUGGCAAAAUUAUGUUUAUUUGGUCAUUUAACUUAGGUGUGGCAAAAUGGCUCGAUAGCGCCACCUACAAAAUUUCACCAAUGUGCACCUCGCACUACGUUUCACCUUCAUGUACGAAAUUUGGUAAACAUGUGUAAGAUGCCAAUAUGUACCAAAAGGUCUCUUGAACCCAUACCCUAAACUCAACAGGAAGUCAGCAUUUUGAUUUUUCUCUUAAUUUUUUCCUCCGUUUUUUGCCAUUUCCAGGCCUUGUACUUUAACGUACUCCUCCUAGAGCUUUCAUCAGUUCGGCAUCACAUUCGGUCAGUCUCAUCUAAAGGCAUUGACGAUGCUAAAUUGCGAAGCUUUUGAAUUUUUGCUGCUCGCCAUGGGCGUGGCGCUCUCACAAAUUUAGAAGUUUCACCAUGAAAAAGGAAGUUGUUAUAACUCAAACAUAGAAUGUCCAAUCUAGGGAUGUCACGAUACCAAAAAUCUAGUAGUCGGUACUGAUACCAGCAAAAAUACUCGAUACCACUUUGUGUAUAAAUAAAUAAUACUUUUAACUCCUUUAUUUAAACACUUGAGUAUUAUAAAAAACAAUAGUGGCAACAGUCACAUAAUAUAUAAAAAAAAGCAAUUACAAAAUAGAUAUAUAAUAAAUAUGUAGGCAUAAAAUGUUUUUUCUUUGAGAUGUUCUGAAAUGAGGUCUGGUUUCGGUGUAUAGUUUGGGGAUCUCUGUAUACAUGAAGUAAUUUCUGCCUGGUAUCUGGGGUUGAACCGCUGAAGCAGAGAGAGAGGGGGUAGGUGGAGCAAUCUCAUUUUAGCCCAGAACCUUUAGCUUGCUUUUGCCAGGAGGUUCAGACUUGGCUUUCAACAAGAUAAAGAGCCAAGCAUACUUCCAAAUGAACACACAAAUGGUUCAAGAAACUCAAAAUCAGUGUUUUACAAUGAGCUUAAAAUGUCCUCCAUGGUGGCAUGGACCAGGACCCCUCGGUCUGCAGCAUUACAGGAAGAUUUCAGGUUAGACAUCAUGGGAAGAGUCUCGGUGCUGUUAUUGUCUCUGGGGCAGACAUCAGUUAACAUUGUGACCCCUUCCCUGGAGAGAACAGCAUUACAAUUCUGAAAACAGUUUUUGUAAAUAAUAAUUCACUACUUAAAGCAUGUACCCGAGCUCCUGCUACGCAGUAACUAAAACUGUCUGCAACUCACGUGUCACUUCAUUCUUUAGUUCCUUCUCUUAAGUGUAGAGCCUCUGUCAGAUUGUGUGAUUGAUAAAGAAAAGCACAUAAAUGACAAAAUACCAGUUUGAGUGCCUAGUGGUCUAAUUAGGAAAUGCUCUUUGGAAGCUCAAUAUAUGCACUUAUCCAUUUGCAUUUUGAUUCGGCUGUUAGUGCUGAGGAUGUCCUUAAGGUGAUGUGCUGCUUUUGGCAGGUUUAGUAAUUCUCUUUAGUCACAUGAGCACUAAUGGUUUUUCUAAAUUUUUAUGUUGUUUAUUUUGGAUACAGGCAGAGGAAGCUCAGCGAAAGCUUAAGAGACAGAAUGGAGAGGACCCAGCCCUGCCUCCAUUCUGCCCACUGUUUGCCAGCUUGGGAAACAUUCUGCAGUGUGACGUGCUGCUUGGCAUGCUGGGAGCUGUGCUGCAGUGGGCUAUGGAGCCCAGUGGAGGACACUGGUCUGAGUCCAUGCUGCAGAGGAUGGUGGUUAGCAUUAAAACGAUGCGUGAGUGCACAGCUGCUGCACCUCCCUGUGAAGGAACAGGGCACUGUCACAAGGAGACUGUGUGUGACAAAGACAAAGCAGGGAGAAAAAAGAAAGCUGAACUGUGCUGGAAAAAGACCAUGGCUCAAACAUUAGAGAGCCAGAGUCAUUUUAUCAAUAAGUACAUAGAUCUGCUCACGCAGGAUUCAGAGGAUCUGGACGCCUCAGCCUCUACAUCAGCAGAGCAUAGCCCCAGUUCAUGUGACAGUGCUCUGGUGUGUGUGGGACCUCGUCGUUGGCGUGCCAGAGGAGGAGAGAGGAGGCAGGUGGAGAUGUGUAUCCUGUGUCACGAAGCGCAGGAGAUCCUACCUGAUGGCACCGCCAUGGUGCUCGCUGCCUUUGUCCAACGCUCUACGGUCAUGUCCAAGAACCGCAAAAGACCCCCUCACAAUCCAGAGAGCUAUGAUCCCCUCUUCAUGCACCCUGACCUGUCCUUUGGUACCCAUACCGGCAGCUGUGGCCACAUCAUGCACUCUCACUGCUGGCAGAGAUACUUUGAGACACUCCAGAGUCAGGAUGCGCAGUGGCUGCAUGAGCAAACCAGUUACGAUGUAGAGAAUGGGGAGUACUUGUGUCCACUCUUUACAGCAAUAGUGAGCAGCCAGGUCUGGCUCAUUGGCUGAAUACAACGUAUAUAAGCAGAUCAGAGCCUUGCACUCUGCUCAUAAGAGAGCCAAGCCAACAAAUGCUGGUGAGACAGAGACUGUGGAGGACUCUCCUCCUCCUGAGAGUUUCAGGCUGGACCACACACCAGUCAACCCUUAUUCAAGCUCCAUAAGGGAGAUGCUGAUGACAUUUGGGACCGCAACUUAUAAAGUUGGCCUUAAGGUGCACCCUAAUGAGCAGGACCCCUGUGUGCCUAUCAUGUGCUGGGGCAGCUGUUCUUACACCAUCCAGUCUAUAGAGAGAUUAUUGGUAGAUGAGGAGAAGCCUUUGUUUGGAAGUUUACCCUGUAGACAGGUAUGACAACCCAACUUAUUGUCAUAUCUCAGCCCAGCCAGGACUCGGUUUCCCGAGAAGCAACACCCACUUCUAACAUGGCCGCUGAGGACUACACUUCCCACACACGCAUGCGCUCACCUCCCCGGAGUUCUGAUCUCACACACCUGCAGCCAAUCACCUUGUCCACUCACCACGGAUACAGAGACACUUUGAGAAGUAAACGUUCAGCAGACUAGUUUCUCUGUCGUUCUCCAAGCGUUACCUACUGUGUUUAUUCGAUAAGUGACUUUGACCUUUGCUUACGUCCCCGACCACGAUUUCUGUCUUGCCCCGUUUGUUUUGUUUGCAUGAUCGCCUGACCCUCGCUUGCUUCUUGACUACGGACUGAUAUUUUAGUUAUCAAACACUGUCUGACAAGGACUAAUAAAACAGUGCUAAUAACAAGUGCUAAGGUGCACUCCUAAACGCACACACACCCCUUAUACUCUGAAUGCAAGCAUUAGUUUAAAUUCACUGAUAUAGUGGCAGGAUAAAAAGAUUUAUUAAAAGCAUGAACAUGUGAAUAAUUAUUAGUGACAUGAGGCUACAUUUAGCUGACAGGACACGGGCUGAAUGGCGAUGCAUGGUGGUCCAUUAAGAGGUAGUUUAUAACACAGGUAUUUGAUAAUGAUACUAACACGUUGCACUCUAUCUCUUAAAUUACACGGAGCGUAACGGUAGCUGGUUUCACGACCACAAUGCAGCUGCCUCAAACAAAUAUAAUAGUCAAAUAGGCAAAGGAAAUUUUGAAAAAAUCAGUUCAUCACACAGGACACAGGGCUGUGACUUGCCGUGUGGAACUAAUUGACGAGGAUAGCGCCAGCGAAUUAAACAAAAAGGCCGAGUCUUUUAAGUUAUAUUCACUAGCACUGGAUGAAAGUAACGACAUAAGACACUGCUCAGCUCCUAAUUUUAUCCGAGGGAUUAACGACAGUUUUGAGAUAACGGAGGAGUUUUUGACCAUGGAGUCCCUGAAAGGAAAAACGCGGGGAGAGGACUUGUAUAACCAGGUGUCUCAUGUCAUCGAGAGAAUGAAGAUACCUUGCCAAUGUCACCACGGA